GAUGAACGCUGGCGGCGUGCCUAAUACAUGCAAGUCGAGCGAACGGACGAGAAGCUUGCUUCUCUGAUGUUAGCGGCGGACGGGUGAGUAACACGUGGAUAACCUACCUAUAAGACUGGGAUAACUUCGGGAAACCGGAGCUAAUACCGGAUGAUAUUUUGAACCGCAUGGUUCAAAAGUGAAAGACGGUCUUGCUUUCACUUAUAGAUGGAUCCGCGCUUCAUUAGCUAGUUGGUAAGGUAACGGCUUACCAAGGCAACGAUGCAUAGCCGACCUGAGAGGGUGAUCGGCCACACUGGAACUGAGACACGGUCCAGACUCCUACGGGAGGCAGCAGUAGGGAAUCUUCCGCAAUGGGCGAAAGCCUGACGGAACAACGCCGCGUGAGUGAUGAAGGUCUUCGGAUCGUAAAACUCUGUUAUUAGGGAAGAACAUAUGUGUAAGUAACUGUGCACAUCUUGACGGUACCUAAUCAGAAAGCCACGGCUAACUACGUG
rnacentral:rRNA from 1 species